rnacentral:rRNA from 1 species
AGCGAACGCUGGCGGCAGGCUUAACACAUGCAAGUCGAACGGCAGCACAGUAAUUGCUUGCUCUUACGGGUGGCGAGUGGUGGAUGGGUGAGGAAUAAAUUGGACUCUACUUUUUCGUGGGGGUUAACGAAGGGAAAUUUAAGCUAAUACCGCCUACGACCUACGGGUGAAUGCAGGGGAUCUUCGGAUCUUGCGUGAUUGAACGAGCUGAUGUCGGAUUAGUUAGUUGGCGGGGUAAAGGCCCACCAAGGCGUCGACCCGUAGCUGGUCUGAGAGGGUGAUCAGCCACACUGGAACUGAGACACGGACCGGACUCCUGCGAGAGGCAGCAGUGGGGAAGGUGGGACAAGGGGCGCAAACCUGAUCCAGCCAGACCGCGUGGGGGAAGGAGGCCUUCGGGUUGUUGAACGCUUUUGUGGUGUAAGAAAAGCAGCAGGUUGAUACCGCGCUGUUCUGACGGUACCCAGAGAAGAAGCACCGGCUAACUACGUG